rnacentral:rRNA from 1 species
AUGGCCUUUCCCAAGCCAUCUCUAGUGCUAUGCUCUGUUCUUACUUUACUGAGCCUAAAUCGCGGUCCAUCUCAUGUAUCUGCCAAGGUUUAUAUGGUGGUGAUGGAGGAUGAUCCAGUUGUUUCCUACAAGGCAAGCCGGAAGGGUGUAAUGAGAGGCGAGGAAGCUCAAAAGUACAAGGAAAUGUCCACGACGAAGCACGACGCCUUCCUGGAAUCAUUUCUGACCGUAGGAUCUUACAAGAAACUGUACAGCUACACUCACCUGCUUAAUGGCUUUGCUGUUCAUGCAAACUCUGAAAAGGCGGCUAAAAUUCUUAGAGGCGCAAAAGGAGUUAGACUCGUUCAAGAAGACAUCAAAAUGGCCAAGAUGACCACAUACACUCCAAAGUACAUUGGAGCCAGUGGGGUAUGGCCACUGCUUGGUGGUGCUGAGAAUUCUGGUGAUGGAAUAGUCAUUGGCAUGAUUGAUACUGGCAUUGACCCCCAAAACCCAAGCUUUGCCAGCUUCUCGAACCAAUCAAAGCAGCCACCUUCCAAUUUCAAAGGAAUGUGCCGCUCUGGGGAUAGAUUCCCUCCUGAUUCAUGCAAUGGUAAGAUAGUGGGAGCUAGGUGGUUCGCGCGCGCUGGUCAAGCAACUGGAGAGUUCAAUGCUACAAUUCACUAUGCAUCACCUUAUGACCCUGAUGGCCAUGGCAGCCACACAGCGUCGACCGCAGCUGGAAACUUCCAUACACCAGCAGUUUCUAGGGGUUACAACUUUGGAUAUGCAAGCGGCAUGGCCCCCGGAGCUCGUCUUGCAAUCUACAAAGCUGCGUAUCCUUUUGGUGGAUACAUGUCAGAUGUGAUAGCUGCUGUCGACCAGGCUGUAGAAGAUGGUGUCGAUGUUAUCAGUCUUUCCAUGGCACCUUCUUCGGUUUCACCUGGCCCUGCAGCUUUUCUCAACUUGCUUGAGACGCAACUGCUCCUUGCCACCAAGGCUGGAGUCUCAGUUGUUCAAGCAGUGGGCAAUGGAGGCCCUGAUGCGAGCUCAGUAGUUUCAUUCAGCCCAUGGAUAACAAGUGUCGCAGCUUCGACAACGGACCGCAAGUAUAACAAAACAAUCGUAGCUGGAAAUGGGCAAAUUUUCUCUUGCGGCGGCCUUUCCCCACCAACACCAGGCGACACAAUGUACCCAUUAGCAUUGGCAGACGACGUGAGCACCGACAAUUCGACUGAUGGGUCUAAUGGUUGCCAGGAUCCAAAGGUCUUCAUAAGAUCUCUAGUUCAGGGGAAGGUGAUUGUCUGCAUGAUUGUGUCAUCUAACUACUAUCAGGGCGACAACUUUGCCGGCAUUAUCGAUACGAUUCAGAAGAUCGGAGCUGCUGGAGUCGUCAUCAUUGAUCGUUAUUCCGGUGAUGUAGACUAUGAAUAUCAGUCCAUAUUUCCUACCGUGGUACCUUCAGCCAUGGUUGUGGACGGAGUAGACAUGAUGAACCUAAUGGAGUACUAUGAGAACAACACGGCACGAGACGGCGACGGAACUGUCAUCACGUUCGGAGCAACCGUCCGGAUUCUGGAGGGACGGCGUGCGAGCUACUCCGGAGAACGGCCGGAGGUCGCCGACUACUCGUCGAGGGGACCCAACAUAGAGAACGCGCAGAUGCAGCUGGCGGACGUCCUGAAACCGAACGUGAUGGCGCCGGGCCAUCACAUCUGGGGAGCCUGGAGCCCGACGAGCGACGCCCUGCCGGAGGUCCAGGGCGAGAGCUACGCCAUACUGUCCGGCACGAGCAUGUCCACCCCACACGUCGCCGGGGUGGUGGCGCUGAUCAAGCAACGGCAUCCCAAGUGGAGCCCCGCCAUGAUCAUGUCGGCGAUCAUGACGACGGCCGACGUGACCGACCGCUCCGGGAGGCCCCUGAUGGCGCGCCGGGACGUGGGCGCCGUGGUUGCGGCGACGCCGUUCGACAUGGGCGCGGGCGCCAUCAACGCGGCGCGCGCGCUGGACCCAGGCCUGGUGUUCGACGCCACGUACAGGGACUACCUGCAGUUCCUGUGCGCGGUGCCGGGCGUGGACGAGGCCGCGGUGCGGCGCGCGGUGGGGGCAUCCUGCCCGACGUCACGGGCGCGGUGGUGCUCGGACCUGAACGCGCCGAGCGUGACGGUGGCGAGCCUGGUCGGAUCGAGGCGGGUGGACCGGAAGGUGUGGAGCGUGGCCGCGGAGAACGAGACGUACAUGGCGUACGUGCGCGCGCCCGACGGCGUGGCGGUGCGCGUGUCGCCCGACGAGUUCACCGUCGCACCCGGCGAGACGGCGGCGCUGAGGAUCGUGCUCAACACCACCGCGCCGGGGAACGCAUUCAGCUUCGGCGAGGUGGUGCUCAGGGGCGACAAGAAGCACAGCGUCAGGAUCCCCCUCGCCGUCUACCCCGCCGCGGUGUUGAGCGGCCCGUGA